rnacentral:rRNA from 1 species
AACGAACGCUGGCGGCAUGCCUAACACAUGCAAGUCGAACGAGACCUUCGGGUCUAGUGGCGCACGGGUGCGUAACGCGUGGGAACCUGCCCUUAGGUUCGGAAUAACUCCCCGAAAGGGGUGCUAAUACCGGAUAAUGUCUUCGGACCAAAGAUUUAUCGCCUUUGGAUGGGCCCGCGUUGGUUUAGCUAGUUGGUAGGGUAAAAGCCUACCAAGGCUACGAUCCAUAGCUGGUCUGAGAGGAUGAGCAGCCACACUGGGACGGAGAAACGGCCCAGAAUCCUACGGGAGGCAGCAGUGGGGAAUAUUGGAAAAUGGGGGAAAGGAUGAUCGAGCAAUGCUGCGUGAGUGAUGAAGGCCUUAGGGUUGUAAAGCUCUUUUACCCGGGAUGAUAAUGACAGUACCGGGAGAAUAAGCUCCGGCUAACUCCGUG